rnacentral:rRNA from 1 species
ACUGGAAUGAACGGCUAAAUGAGGACUAAACUGUCUCUUACGGACUGGCCAAUAAAAUUAAUCUUCCAGUACAAAAGCUGGAAUAAACCCAUAAGACGAGAAGACCCUGUGGAGCUUCAAAACCAAACCAUAAAACAUGCCUCCUGGUUUUUUAGUUGGGGCGACUUCGGAGCAAAAAAAAACCUCCAAAACAAAAACUUCAUUCAUCAAGAUUAACACACCAAAAAAUCAUAAAAGAUCAGCAUAUGACCCAGAACUAUUUGUCUGACCAAUGAACCAAGUUACCCCAGGGAUAACAGCGCCAUCCCCUUCUAGAGUCCCUAUCGACAAGGGGGUUUACGACCUCGAUGUUGGAUCAGGACACCCCAAUGGUGCAGCCGCCAUUAAAG